rnacentral:rRNA from 1 species
AACGAACGCUGGCGGCAGGCUUAACACAUGCAAGUCGAACGCCCCGCAAGGGGAGUGGCAGACGGGUGAGUAACGCGUGGGAACGUGCCCUUCGCUUCGGAAUAGCCCCGGGAAACUGGGAGUAAUACCGAAUACGCCGUAUUGGGAAAGAUUUAUCGGCGAAGGAUCGGCCCGCGUUGGAUUAGCUAGUUGGCGGUGUAAUGGACCACCAAGGCGACGAUCCAUAGCUGGUCUGAGAGGAUGAUCAGCCACACUGGGACUGAGACACGGCCCAGACUCCUACGGGAGGCAGCAGUGGGGAAUCUUGGACAAUGGGCGCAAGCCUGAUCCAGCCAUGCCGCGUGAGUGAAGAAGGCCUUAGGGUUGUAAAACUCUUUCGCCGGAGAAGAUAAUGACGGUAUCCGGAGAAGAAGCCCCGGCUAACUUCGUGCCAGCCGCCGCGGUAAUAC